rnacentral:piRNA from 1 species
AUGCACGAAGCUCCGUUCCCGGU